rnacentral:tRNA from 1 species
GGAUGGCUCAGUGGUUAAGAGCACUGGCUGUUCUUUACAGAGGCCCUGAGUUCAAUUCCCAGCAUCCA